UCUUCUUCUUCUUCUUCUUGCUUAAUCCAUUUCUUCUUCUCACUCUCUUCACCUUCACUUUUAGAGCUUUUCGUUUGAGAGAUAGGGAUUUUCUAGACGUUUUCUCUUCUCUUAUGCUGUAUUAAGCAGAAACUCAAUUUCCAAUAGACACCAUAAAAAAUAAAAAAAAAUUGGUACUGCAAUUUGUUCUCUUUCCCAAAACACACAAAUCUUCUUCUUUUUUGUUCUUUCAUGCUUAGGGUUCUUUCGAUUAAUAGAGUAAAUCAUUUUCUCCAUCAACGAUCAGAGAAUCUAGUCGAUUAGUAAUCUAGGGUUUUUAUUUUCCGUUUUCGUUUCUGGUUUACUCACCUAUCGCGAGGAGGACGAUGCGGUUUCUGAACUGCAAGUUAGAGUUGAAGAUGAUGUAGUUCAGAAAUUAGGUCAUUAUAUUAAAGUCCUCCUGUUUCUGAACUGCGAGUUAGAGUUGAAGAUGAUGUAGUUCAGAAAUUAGGUCAUUAUAUUAAACUUAGUGAGGACUUCGAAGUAUUUCUCAGGAAGCAGAGCAUGAAGAUCUGUGUGGUUAUGUUCAAGCUUGGUCUUUUAUUCGCGAUUCUAACUACUUUGGGUCUCGCUGGUUACAAAUGGCUCGCUCCUUCAAUCAUGGAUAAGAAAUCAUUACAAUGUUAAGAGAACAUCUGCUGAAGAGUGUUAUAUUUUGGCAUUAGAAUUUCGAUAGCAAUCGAUUUUGAGAAGUAGCUACAACAAAGUAUGAGGAUUUUUUGUCCUUUCUUAGAAGUUACCCUAGAGAUUGCAACAUAGAGUUGGCCAUGUGAAAGGUUUGAUGUCAGCAAUGUUGGUGAUCCCAAGCUUUAACGUGAAGAGAAUAGAUGAAAGCUUUAAAAGAUCCGGAUCAUAAAUGCAAGAGCUUCAUAUCGGGCCUAUUGAUUGUAAGCCCAAUAGGACCACUAAAAAAUUGCACAAAUCGGGUCUGCUAGGAUCCGCGUGUUUUACCGAGUGUAGACCCGAGAUCCGCGUGUUUAUCCGAAUGAUGAUCCGACUAAAGGAUCCAAGAUCCGCGUCCCAGUUCGAGCCUAUUGUCCAUUAUACCCCUCGUCUAAAUCUUUUUCUUAGUCUUUUUUUUUUUGUCAUCCGAAAUUAAUUAAAGCUCAAAAGAGCCAUUCCUGAGGAAUG